GAUCCUGGCUUAGGAUGAACGCUAGCGGCAGGCUUAACACAUGCAAGUCGAGGGCAGCGCGGAGUAGCAAUACUCUGGCGGCGACCGGCGCACGGGUGCGUAACGCGUAUGCAACCUACCUGUAACAGGGGUAUAACGGAGUGAAAAUUCCACUAAUCCCCCAUAUUGUUGGAGAAUCGCAUGUUUUUCCAACGAAAGCUUUCUGUGGUUACGGAUGGGCAUGCGUGACAUUAGCUAGUUGGUAAGGUAACGGCUUACCAAGGCGACGAUGUCUAGGGGAGCUGAGAGGCUUAUCCCCCACACUGGUACUGAGACACGGACCAGACUCCUACGGGAGGCAGCAGUGAGGAAUAUUGGUCAAUGGACGGAAGUCUGAACCAGCCAUGCCGCGUGGAAGGGAAGAAGGUCCUAUGGGUUGUAAACUCCUUUUGUUCCGGAGUAAUAAGGGGCAUGCGUGCCUCGAUGAGAGUACGGGACGAAUAAGCAUCGGCUAACUCCGUGCCAGCCGCUGC
rnacentral:rRNA from 1 species